rnacentral:rRNA from 1 species
UACGUAGGGAGCUAGCGUUGUCCGGAAUCAUUGGGCGUAAAGCGCGCGUAGGCGGCCCGGUAAGUCCGCUGUGAAAGUCAAAGGCUCAACCUUUGAAUGUCAGCGGAUACUGCCGGGCUAGAGUCCGGAAGAGGCGAGUGGAACUCCUGGUGUAGCGGUGGAAUGCGCAGAUAUCAGGAAGAACACCGAUGGCGAAGGCAGCUCGCUGGGACGGUACUGACGCUGAGACGCGAAAGCGUGGGGAGCAAACAGG